UGCAGAGCCUGCUCAGAUUCGGGAGGAGGAAACAUUCCACGUGUUGAUGGAGGAGUGAUAGAGGUCCACAGGCAUGGAAGGACUUGGUGUCCAUCUUUGGAAACAGUCUCAAGCAAGGAUCGUGUCCACCUGAGUUUGAGUAAAUGCAGAAAGAAUUGGCUUAUGGCGUUGAGGAGAGCCUAAAGCACAGAACCAUUGAGGGUUUUGCUGAAUGCAAUGGAACCACCGUCUCUGGAACGCCAGGGGCCGGUCGCCAUAGAAGCAGUCAACCUGAACCCUUGCAGGGUGUUUAUCUUCAGGAAUCUUGAGGCCCACCCCCAGGAGCCCUGGGCUUCCAAGAGGAUCACUGCCCCUCUGACAAGCAUGCACGUUCCAGGGGACCAGGGGCUGUGCUUCCUGAACGCAACUGGGACAGGAGCUUAUGGAAAUGGAUUGAGAUGAAUAGAUGCCCAGAGCUAAGUUCACAGAUGCUGCACGUUGAGAAGUGCCAUGUCCCUAAGCACGCUGCUCAGAGGGUCCCCUUAAUUUGGCAACUGUAAAGUAAACAUCUCUUCUUUCACAUAGCCCUUGCCCUACAGGCCACAGCCCCACAUAGAUAACUAGCCCUCAGCUGAGGUGGCCACUCAAGCCUGUGGCUUCGCUGCCUCUGGGCAGCCCCCCUAUCCUGACGCAGACAGCCAUGGUGCCUCGUGAAAAAAUGCCCCAAAUGAGAGAGGAACGUUGACCUAAGGGAAUGCCGGGCUACUGAAAUGUGGUGAUCUUCUUCAGGUGUUGGACCCACAUAUGAUUGGGAACUGCCACUGUCUGAGAUACUUUUUGAUUCUGAGAUUCUGAGUCAUGAAUCUUUCUGCUUCCACAAGCUGAAGGUCUUUCUUAAAUAGGCUGCAGAUGGACUUAGGACAACAAGAAAAGUCCCAUCAAGCAUCUGUUUACAGACACAGACAUCACAGCACACGUGGAUUCCAGCGUAGAAACCUCAGCUCACAUGAUUAGAGAGAUCUUCAAAGAGCAACAUUGUUCCUAGAAGCUCUUCGGUUUACUAGGAAAGAGGUGACUGUAGAAAGCGGGUGUUGAGAAGAAUAGCCCAUAUGGACCCCUGGAUGCUGUUAUUUUGCCUUUUAGGGCCCAGAGGAUCUGGGUGUUUUCUUUGCUGAUCUCCCUUGUGCAUGUGAUCAGGUGACAUUGGUGUCUGCACUGAUAGGGGUGGCUUCUACUUCUCACGGACAGAAUCAGGGCCACCUGUCUCCUUUUGGUACCACCUCUUGGGUAGUGGGUGGUCCAAAUAAUGUGGAGAAGAGUCCUGAGUUUGUGCUGUCUCUGCUUUAAUUUGUGUACAUUUUCCUUUAACUACUCUGCUGGGAACAUUAAAUCAAUGUGGAUGAUUUUUGAAGAAUGUAAUCUAGAAAAUUCAAUUAUUUAGCGCCUGGAAGGGUUUCAAAGAUUAAAAUGCUGUGCAAAAAUGUGUAAGCAUUUAUUAUUAAAAUUAAACAAAUGUUUUCUCCAUGCAAUUAAAUUGCAUUGUCAAAAUGGUGUGUUUGACUCCUCCAAACACAUUUUGUGUUAUUUUUAUUUGGACUUUUUCUAAUGCUCCCAGGCAGAAUUAGAAACUUCUCUCCUCUGUUGCUCCCAUAGCUUUGUCUUUAUACCCUAUUUUAGCUGAAUUCAAUUCAAUUUGAUUUUAUUUAGUUUCAAAUAACACUUAUUAAGUGUAAACUCGGUACUAGUUACGGUUCUGGGCUCCAAGGAACAAAACGUUAAGUUGUACCUUUCAUCAAACUACAAGAGUGUGUGUGUGUGUGUGUGUGUGUGUGUGUGUGUGUGUGUGUUUUAACUUUAAUGCAGUUAGUUCCCUGGUAACAACAAAAUUCAAAGGAGGCAGAGGGAAGGGAAUGAAUGCCUAUCAGCAUUCCAGGUGCUGACAGCUUCAAAGAUGAAUGAUUUUGAUUGCAUUGAAUUAACUAUGAAAGCUUUCAGCAAAACUGAGUCCUUUCCCUUUUGGAAGGAUUCAUCUUUUUUUAAGUUUAUUUUUGAGAGAGACAGAGAGAGAGAACACAAGUAAGGGAGGGGCAGAGGCAGAGGGGGACAGAGGAUCUGAAGCAGGCUCCAUGCUGACAGCAGAGAGCCCGAUGCAGGGCUCCCACCCACGAACUGUGAGACCAUGACCUGAGCCAAAGUCGGACACUUACCCAACUGAGCCAUCCAGGCGCCCCUGGAAGGAUUCAAAUCACCGUGGAUGGGGAGAGAAAGGACUUCUCCCGCCUACCCCCAUGGAAGAAGCACAACAGAGAAGGAUGGUGGCAAAACUUGCCUUUCGUUAGUUUUGCCCUUGACAUUGGUGAAUACAGUUCUGCAAAUUGGAAAUAUUUCCUAGGUUUCCAGGUUGCUCAAGCUCCCAGCAACUGGGCCAGGCAUGAUGGCCACUUUCUUCCUAAAGUCAAGCAGUUUUCUUCAUUUUCUCAUAUAACUCCAACUUGUUUACAGAGGGAUGAUCCUGAAUAUUCAGCUGAUAUUCAGAAAAAAAUAUCGGUAAGGAACAGCAUUCAUGGUUACAAAGUCAUUGCAAAGAUAAGAAUUGCAGCAUCAGGAUUUUGGCCUCGACCUUUGAGUAUGAGCAGAGAUUUUUUUAAGAGGGAAGGACAUCAAAUAAACUAAACUAAGCCCCCCAAAAUUGUGUAUUAAAAUUACAAUACAAAAAGACAGGAUAAUAAUCACAAACCAUUUGCCUGUGUUAAAAAGCGCAGGAUAAGGUCACCCACAUUGUAGACACUUAUUAUGGAAAGUUCGGAUUCUGAAAAGGAUGAGAAAAACAUUUUCUUGUUUUCUCCUCGUCUAUAAACCUGUGUCACAGCCUAUUCAAAACUCCUCAGAAGCAAAAACACUUUUGAGACGACUUUUGUGAGGCUGCAAGUUUGAUAGAAUACGAGGUUAACUGAGUGUAAAAGACCAAUAAAAUAAAUAAAUGGUGAAAUAUAGGGGCAAAAGAAAAUGAAGGGAAGGAUCACAAAAUGAAUGGGGUAAUUGCCUUUUUUACGUGCCCUGGAACAAAUAUGGAGGAUGUGAAUCUUCCUCCUUUGAGAACUUGAGAGAAUCUAUUAGUAAAUGAUCUGGUUCUGGAGCCUUAUUAGGAAGUAGUUCUUUGACAGUUCUUGUUAUUGCUUUACUAGUACAUUAUGGUAUUUCUAGUUUCAAUUUUGGAAAUUUCCGUUUUUUUAGAAAAUUGCCAGAUUUUGAAAUUUAUGAGCAUAGACUUGAAUAUGGUGUGAGAAUUGCAUGUGCAAGUCUAUGCUUAUCUAUUUAAAGUCCCCUCCAUAUUUGUUGUCGCAUACUUCCCCUGUUCUAAAUUUGUGGUGUUGUUUUUAUUUUUUUCUUCAUUUAACUUUUCAGAUAUGGACUACUUUGCUUAUUUUUUCUCACAUAUAAAGUUCUCGAAUUUGUUGACCAAUCCCUAAUUUUAUUAAUUUGGGCUUUUUACCUCUAUUAUUUUCUUCCUUUUCUUUAUUUUAGGUAUCUUGUAAUCUUCUUCUAGCUUCCACAUUCAAAUGACUAGAUUUUCUUUUUUCAACCUUUCUCGAAUAACAGUUAAAGCUUUUAAAAUGUCAAACUUGUUUCUGGGCACAAUUUUGGCUAAAUACCUUAAGUUUUAAUAUGUGUGGUUCUAAUUUCUGUUUUUUCUAAAUACUUUGUAUUUUUAUGGUACCAUAAUAGAAUGUGUAUUAGAUGUCAGAUGGUGGAGUGUUUUUUGUUUAAACUUCUAUUACUUUUUUAUUUGUACUGAUAACAGAGAAUGUGACCUAUAAUAUUUUUGCUAUCUGGAAUCUAUUGACAUUAUCUUUUUUUCUUCCUACAUAUUUAACUAUUUGUGUGUAUGUAUAUAUAUAUAUAUAUAUAUACACAUACAUGUACAUGUGUGUGUGUAUUCCAUGGAUACAUGUAAACUAGUAUUCUUAAACAAAUACAAUUGUGAAUUCAA